CCAAUUCAGAUUUUAGUGGCAGGACAGCUUCUUUCUAGCCAGCUCUCCUCGCUUAUCGUAUCCUCCAGGUUUCGGACCAGAUCUGAUUCGGAGACUCUCGGAUCCCAUCUGUUCGUUUUCAAAAAAGAAAGAAAGAAAGAACAGAAAAAAACCCAGUAACCUCCCGUCCACCUUGUAUGCGUCUGUUCCUCGCCUCUAUCCCGUCUCCGCCCUUCUCCCUUUGGCGUGCACGGAUGCCUUUACAGCGGACUACAUCGCUUAGGAGGCGUUAUCCGUUCCCAGAGGUUUGAUGAAUGUAGAUGUGGAUAUUUUGCCAAGGACAUCGGGGCAGCGUUACACGAGCCGAGCGCGGGCGCAAUGACUCGGAGCGCGUCUCCACUUCGGGAAAACACUCCUCGCUUUGGGCUUCUUCUAUAAGCAGCUUGGGUUUUAUGCGUGUCUGUAUGUUUGCGGAUGUGUGUAUGUCUGAGUGUGUGUGUGUGUGUGGAUGUAAGUGCUGGACUUGGUGCAAAUAAAUGAAAACCGGUGUUCCUCGAAGCUCAUCUUUGGUGUGUUGGACGGAGUCGAAGUUAAGCGCAAGAGCUCCGAAACCAAGAGAAACGGUCAAUAAGGUUGGUGUAUGAAUGAUUGAGUGCGAGCAGAUGACUGAGGUGCUGAGGGAUCAGGAGCACUAGAGUGGAGGCAGCCCCAGCUGUCCUGUGUGGAAGAAAGAGGGAGGACUGAAAGAAAAGGGGCAGCAGGGCCGUCUGCCCCCUGCAUUGCACAGGAGUGCAGCCAUGGAGCGAGUGCUCUUGUGCCUGUCUCUGUUGGUGCUGCCCAUUGCAACUAUGCUGUGCCCAAAGCGUUGCACCUGUCAGAAUCUCCUACCUUCCUACACGGUCCUGUGUGCGAAGACUGGCCUGCUCUUUGUGCCACCCAACAUCGACCGACAGACAGCCGAGCUUCGGCUCAUGGACAACUUCAUCACCACACUCCGGCACCGCGACUUCGCCAAUAUGAGUAGCCUCAUCCAUCUGACUCUGUCUCGCAACACCAUCAGCCUCAUCCUGCCCUAUGCCUUUGCCGACCUGCAGGAGCUCCAUGCGCUGCACCUUGAUGCCAACCGGCUCACCACGCUGGACGACACACAUCUGCAAGGUCUGGUCAACCUGCGCCACCUAAUCCUUGCCAAUAACCAGCUGCAACAUAUUUCCCAUGGAGCCUUCCAAGACUUCCUAGAGACUCUCGAGGAUCUGGAUCUGUCCUAUAACAACCUGAUAAACGUCCCAUGGGACACCAUAGCUCUCCUUGUGAGCGUCAAUACACUUAGCUUGGAUCACAACCUCAUCGAGUUUGUGCCUGAGGGCAUUUUUUCCAACCUGCACAAGCUAGCAAGGCUGGAUAUGACCUCCAACAAGCUGAAGAAGAUUCCCCCGGACCCGCUGUUUCUGCGCAUACCAGUUUAUGCAAAAACAAAGGGCUCACCACUAACUGCACUGGUGCUAAGCUUUGGUGGAAACCCACUGCACUGCAACUGUGAGUUGGUGUGGCUGAGGCGACUGACACGGGAGGACGACCUUGAGACAUGCGCCUCUCCCAAAGAACUAGCUGGGAAGUACUUUUGGACCAUCCGUGAGGAGGAGUUUGUGUGCGAGCCACCCAUGAUCACACGCCACACUUCUAAGAUGUUUGUAAUGGAGGGUCAAGAGGUAAGCUUGAGGUGCAGGUCUGUGGGAGAUCCUGAACCUACAACACACUGGGUGAGUCCAGAUGGCAAGCUGAUUGCAAACACCUCUAGAACAACUGCCUAUGAGAACGGCUCUCUGGACAUCCUUACAGCCACUGUGAAAGAUUCGGGUGUGUUUACCUGUAUAGCGUCCAAUGCGGCUGGAGAGGCCACGGCCCCUGUAGAACUUGUGGUGAACCCCUCACCACAUUACGACCCUAAACUCGAACCAGAACCAGGACCCUCAGAUAUGCCCACCUCCAUCAAGUCAAACAGCAGUGGGGGGCAGACACGAGUGGAACAACGGGUUAGUGUGACCGAGAUAACAGCCACAUCAGUAACCAUCCGCUGGCCUUCACAAAGCCAUAUCCCUGGGGUUCGCAUGUACCAGAUCCAAUACAACAGCUCCACGGACGAGAUCCUCAUUUACAGGAUGAUUCCAGCCUCAUACAAGCUGUUUCAGUUGAGUGACCUGGCCUCUGCGCGGGACUACGAUCUCUGUGUCUUGGCCGUUUAUGAUGAUGGAGUCACUGCCCUCACAGCUACACGCCUCGUCGGCUGCGUGUCAUUCAGCACUGAGCGUGAGUACCACCACUGCCGCUCGCUCCAUGACCAGUUCCUGGGUGGCACCAUGAUCAUCGUCAUUGGAGGCAUCAUCGUGGCCUCUGUGCUCGUCUUCAUCUUCAUCCUGCUAAUGAAGUACAAGCUUCACAGCCAGCACUACAAGCAAAAGGCAGAGCGCGUCAGCAACGUGUGUUCACAGACCAACGGCGGCCAGCAAGGAGCGGCGUCUAACCCUCCACCACCCCGCUCGUCCUCUUCCUCCGCUUCGGCAAGUAAACCAUCCAUCCUUCUCAGUCAGGAGAGGCCAGAGAGUUAUGGUGCUCAGGAGGGAGGCUAUGGGGCACUCAAAGGCACCACAGUGGUGGACUUAAAUCCAGAAUAUGGCAAGUCAUUCAAAGAAGAAGACUCAGUAUCGCAAUAACACAGGGUCAAAUCCCACCCCUUCACCCUCUCCUCCUCCUUCCCAUCUUCUGUUGUUUUUUUUGUUUUUUUUUCUGGUGCUGGGGUGUCUCUGCCUUACAGAGGAUUUCCUCAUGUCCAAGGCAAACUCAGUCUAGAGGGAAAAUUAAAUUGCCUGGGAUUGGAACCAAUAAGAGGAGGAGAGGUGGGUGGAAGCCAGUAACUGUUUUCAGUCCCUUAUGCAAGCUUCAAACAAUGGAUAUUAAUGAGCCUGUUUGGAGCAUAUGGGCAAAAUGUUGUCCUACACCAAGGCCAUCACUCUUAGAGAAAAUAAUAUGAAAAUAUGACCAUCACUAUUGGACAAGUGAACGCAUCACUAAUGGAAUCUGUUGCUACUCUUUCACAAACCUGUGGAAACUAAAUGGACACCAUGAUUCAUUCAUACUAUUCAGUCACCAUAGGAUGUCCAGGCUGCAGCAAAUGCAGAGUCAAAGGAAUGUUCUGAAAUAUUUCACAUUUCUGAAUGGAAUGUGAAAUGUUCCCAUUUGAUGCGUAACGCUCUGUGGAAAUCCAAUAUUCACACAGGACAUUGAAGUACAGACAUGCUGAUAGAAAGUAUCCAUUUUGGUGUACUUUUGGGGCACUUUAUGAUAUUCCACUCUUCUACUCUCUCUCAAUCACUCUGACUUUUCUCCCUUUUAAAGGGAACUGGACAUUGGACAUUUAUUCAACUGGUAAUCAGGCAUGGUUGUACAUGUGCAUCGGAGAUUCUUUAAAACAAAACAAAACAAAAAAAAAGACAUCACCAGAGUUUUCUUAGUCACCAUGCACUGAUGCAUUUAUAUUUCACAUAUAUCAAAGAGGAAAACAACAUUUUAAGAGCCCAGACACUGACCUUCAUAGACAUUUAAGAUCACAUCCAAUACAAAAACAGGCCUCUUCGAAAGGUUGCCUGAUGAAAUAAAUACUGUUUCUUUUUUUUUUUUCCUCCUCCAAUUAACUGUGUAUGUAUUUGUAUGUGAGGUAAACCUUCAGCCAUCUCUGAUUUGAAUUACACGUGAAAAUAAUAGUCCUCGGAUGGAAUUUUAUGCUUUCAUAGAUACUAC